AGGGGUUCCGCAGGCAGGGAAGGGGUUCCCCAUGCAGGGAAGGGGUUCCCCAUGCAGGGAAGGGGUUCCUCAGGCGGGGAAGGGGUUCCCCAUGCUGGUCGCUGGCGUGACUCGAGGGGCACGGUCAGUGUAGGCACAGGGCAGUGAACACCAGAGUGGAGCAAAACCAGCAGCAGGCACUUGGCUUUUGCGUUUCUAAAGGUUUUAUAUGCAAUGAGCAGGUAUUCCAAUAAGCCAUAUAUUUAGCUCCUUUUUUUCCUCUUCAUAAUAAUAUAUCCUUACUUGGAUAUAAGUAUAGCUAAGUACUGAUAAAUGCAAAUUUGAGGACCGUGGAUGCCCUUGUAUCACUGUCUUAGUGUGCCAGCACUGCCCCACACAGAGUGGAAUAUACGAUGGUCCUUUGGUUCCUCAAAAUGCGUCCUUGGCCUUCAGAUUCACACCAUGGAAAAUACUUGUAAAUCCAAUUUUUAAAGUGAAGUAUUUUUUAAGGUGAAGCAAAUGUGGUGCAGAUGAGAGCAGCUGCAAAGUCCAGUCUGUAAAGCAGUACAGCGUGGCUGCUGCUUAUCACCGAGCUCUCUGCUGAUGCAGCUCGGGCCUGCUUUGCACCUCUUGGGUCACAGUAUCUCCAGACCUGUUGGUCACAGUGACAUAUUUGUCUCCACAACUUUUGCUGGUGGACCUCAGUCUGGGAUCAGAGUUUUUGCUGAUUAUCCUUAUGAGCUCAUUCUUAUAGAUUUCAUUUUAUUACUGUUUAGGGUGGUUUGUUUUGCUGCUUAUCAAUGGCUAAGUUAAACAACCCUGGUGAAAAGCCUAUGAUUGCUGCCAUUUAUGGUGUUCUAACACGGUUUCAGGCUUUUCAAGGAAACUGAAACUGAAAAUGGGGCAGGAUUGUGAGUGUUGCUCCAGAUAGAGAGGCUUUGCAAUGGUGCAUUGUAAAUAAUGACUGUUGUACCUGGCUUGCUCAUUUGGGUGUUUGUCCUAUGAGUCUGUUGGCUUGGUUUAAUAGAAUUAGGCAAGCAAUUGUUGGAGGGGAUCCAGGGAACCACUGCCUCACCCAGCCGUGAUUUCAAGGUUAAGGCAAUGUCACAUCUGUCUGCUGAGAGAACCUGGUGAUGAAACUCCAGCGUUGUCACUGGUAUUGUCAGUUGUGCAGUGGCACCAUUGGGAAGGAGAUUAUGGGCAGCUAAACGACUGAGUGAGCUGUUCUCUCAUGUUUUGUUUUCUCUGUGAGGCUUGGGCCUGUGUCAUUGAUGUAGUUCAGUGAAAACCACACUGUGCUGUGAGUGAGGCUGGGAUCACGGUUUGAUCCUCCACAGUGAGGAGGUCCUAUGGAAACCUGUGGUGCCUCCCUGAUGUGCCAGAAUAGCCUUUCUUUGGAAACCAGAGUGCAAACUGGUCUCAUCCUGACAUGCAGUCGGGACAUAGGUGGGAUUUCCUCUGCAUCUCAUGGUGGAGAUGUUGCAUUUAUUUACCUUGAGGCCAAUCUCCAGAAGGAAUAGCUGCUAAUCCCAGUUACAACUUUCCUCUUACUAGGUACAGGAUGCUCCAAAUCUGGGCUUGUUUUAAAAAAUGCAGACUUUCAAGUGCCAGAAGAGACCUGCUUUUCAUGGUGGACUCCCAGAGACCAAAGAGGAAGCAGAGGUUCAUGUUUGGCCUUGCAGCAAGACAGACUGCACCUGUGAGAGCUCUGAAGGGGAAGAGCUGCUACCAGUCACGGCUGGAUUCUUUGGAGUAGGGGUGGUUGAAGGCACUGCUGUUCCCAGCCUUUCACUCCUGUUAUGUCAGGUAACUGUAGGUCUUCUGCAAUAUCAGAGUGAUAAAAUGACACUUGAACAGAUUCAUGAGAACCUAGGGAGUGUGACCUGUCAACUCUGGUUGGCAACUCUGCUCAAGUCCAAGAUCACCUAAGUCUUUGUCAUUCCUUGACAGAAAACAGUUUAAACUCUUUCUGGAUACUGAGUGAUGGCUACAGGUGAUUAUUCUGAAGGAUACAAUUCUGCAUUUCCUGUUGAAGCUCUGCUCUGUGACAGCUUAGCUGGAUUGCAGCAGACAAGGUACUGGAGACUGACCAGAAGGAAUGUGAGAAGGAACCAUUGAAGAUUUUGUACUAAAAGUAUCAGGUGGUUGUGAAUGACUGCCCUUGGGAAAUUCACUUUAUCCUCUGGCCAGAAAGGUUUCUUCUAAACAUUUAGUUUUGCUUUUUGAUUAGUCUGUGUUUGUACAGCCUCCUCUUGGAGAGACAGGCUGGAAAUUUGUACCAGUAUUUGCUUUUGCAUGCUCAAACACUACUGUGCUUCCUGAAAAAAAUUCUAGAAAACAACUAUAUCAUGCAGAAAACAGAAGUUAUCAUAAAUUAAACAUCUGACAGUAUGAGAAGGAAUACCAAAAGGUAAUUGUACAAUUCCUUAGUCUGUUCUGAUUUUGGGUGUGUGGAGAUUCCUAUAAGACGUGAAAACCUUGCCUGUUUAUUUACAUGACAAAAGAGGAAAAAAGCUUUUUUUAGCAGAACAUACUGUUUAAACAAACAUCACAGUGAAACAAGACAGCUAAAGGUACUGUAAGUCCAUUCUUUUUUUAUUUUUUAUAAUGUUUUGAAGUUUUUGUGUCUAAGAAUAAAUUAUUUUUCUUUUCCUUUAUUGUGAAGUGCAUACCUACAGUCAGUUUUUGUGACAGCAAACUGUUCCCUCUUUCUGUUAAGUUUACAAAAAUUGCACACUCUGUGGAGCUACUUUAACUUUUAUUUGGAGGCUUUAUCAUCUUAGCAGUGGACUUGCAGGCUGCUUCAGAAAUUCUGGAGGCUGCAUAUUGGCUUAGAAAAUGGCUCAAAAGCCACAGGCACACCAUUUGGUGUUUUGGUCAGUGUGCUGCUCCACAAACUCUCCUUUAGACAUGGGGACUGCACAGAACCUCUGCAAGACUCAGGGUGAUUGCAAUGGAGCAUUUUGCCUCUGGCUUACAAGCUGUACACCAGCAAUGUGCAAGGGUUAAGGACAAGAUAAAAUCACUUGCUGCUGUUUUGAUUUCCUGAGGAAAUGUUGUUUUUACGUGAAAAAUGAAGAAUGCAGUGAGGACCAUUCCUGUGCCAAAAUUUCAAAGUGUGUUCCUGUCGGCUGUGGUGCCAUGCAUAGGUUUUACAUCAGGAUCUUAAAUUUGGAUAUAAAGAUCUCUGUUGUAGAAGCCCCAUCUUGUGGACAACCAAUCAAUGACUACUUCAGCACAGCUGAAAUUUGAAAUACUUAGAAAAUAUGGAGAUAUUUUGGUAGUUUCUGCAACAAAUUGGAGAGUCUUCAUGUUUCUAGAAAAUAUGGAAACUUCAUUCAUGUGUAGAAAUCAGCAUGUGCUUUCCAAACACUAUUUCCACAGGAAGAAAUUGAGAAUUGCAGAGAGAUAUCAACACUGGGGUGGAACUAAGGAUGGUGCCCUCAGAAGCCUGUUUUAAGUCCAAAUCAGCUAAAACACAAACCUGAACCCUGCCUUGAAUUCCCCAAAUAGAGUCCUGUAGUACUUGGAUAGUACAAAUGAGUCUUUAAGUGGCAAAAUCAUAUAAGGGCAGAAGAACAUCCUUUGAAAAAAAUUUGUUAAGAGAGAAAGAAUAACAAAGUAUGCAUGAAAACUGAAUCUGGAAACUUUGGAAAUAUCCUUAAGGAGAUUGUUUGUUUCAGCACAAAGUAGUGGAUGAGGUCAGCAGCUCCAGACUCAGUGAGUCAACACACUUAGGAGGAAGUAAAGAGUGUGAAAACAAGCCUGUGAUAAAAGCUAAUUUCAGGUUUCAGUGUGACCUUGGUAGGAUAUAUUAGAUAUAUUCUAUUAAAUAGAAUAAUACAUAUAAUUACAAUGUCUUUUUGUUGCUCUGAAGAAAUUGGGUUGCUCUAUGAUAGUUUCUGUUUCUUUCAUAUGCAGAAAGUAGGAACCUUCGUGAUAGUUUUCUGUGUAGUAAUUAAGGCUGUAAUGAAGGAGCCAGAAAUUGUGGCGACAUCUAGGGAAAGGUUGGCAGAAGUGCCUCCAACUAAAACACCUCCCACUGAAACUGUGGCCACUUCUUUUCCUGUGAAGGUGAUGCAUCCAGGGAAUGUCCUGUUGGAGUGGUUUAUUUGGAAGGGAUGCUGAGAGUAAAGAAGAUUCUGGCAUGGGAACAGGGUGUCACUGCAGCCCCUUUGAUGGCAGCAGGAGAGGGGUUUGCUGUUCCUACACGUGGGUGUCUGACUGAGCAAGGGGAUUAACAGAGGCAGAAGUUCAGAAUUUGGUCAUUGCAAAGACAGUAUAUAAUUUCUUAGUCCUUACCAACAGCAGUCUGGAUGAAUCUUCACUUUUAAUACCAAUUACAAUGCAUUUUUCUAUUUAAAAUUAUCCUUAGAAGUGAGUGUACAUCUGCUGUUUCACAGUUAAGUUUAAAAUAACUGUUUCUUUCAUAUUGAAAUAAUUAGAUAUGAAUCAUUCUGUAGUCUGAGAAUUUCAUACAUGGUUCAUAUAUAACAUAUAUAGAUCUGAAAAAAUCACCUUCCUUAAUAAGCUAACAGGUACAACUAUAAAUGCACAUUAUCAGUAUAUUACUAAAAAAAUCACAGAAAUAUCUGACUCCUUUUGCUUCUCAUAGUCUUUUGGAACAGAAUUCUACAUUUUUGAUGAAAGGCAUGUUUGAUGAAUUGUCUGAACCAGUGCAAAACCUUUGAGAAAAAUGUAUAUUCCAAAGUCUUCUCCUUAAAGGAGAGAAUAUUAAAACUUUAGCAAUAUACAGGACUACAAUUUUUGCCUGAGAGCAAAUUCUGCUGGAACCAGCAUGUGCAAUCGAAAUCAAAAUCUUUCUCAGUGUGAAGUGAAUCCAUGAAAGGAUCUCUGCAGCUCCUUUCUGUGGAAGUUGUUUCUUCCAGGGCAGACAGAGAACAGCAGAUGCUGGUUGACCCCUCAAGGGAAGAGCAGAUGAAGUGGGAACAGCUACUUAGAAUUCCCUGCACUUAAAUAAUAAAGCAAGAACAGUUCAGCAGGAGGAGUACAGACAGAUAUUAGUGUGGUGGGAAAUCUAGAGGAGCUGCAGCCUAGGGAAAGAAAAUGAAGAUAUAAAGUUUGUCAUGAAAGGGUGUUGGAAAACAAGGAUUUAUUCCAGCAGUGUUGAGGGAGGGAAUAAGGGCUGCUCAAUCCCUGCUCCACCAGGUGAGUGCAUUGUAGUACAGACAAAAGACAAGUCUUGGUGUAAAGGACAGACUAUUGCCUUAUUCUGAGCAGAAAGCUCUAAAAAAAGUAAUUAUUGGUAAAAGCAAAGUGUCUGAAGGAGUAGAAGAAAAGGGUAUCAUUCAGUGAUACUUCUUGGAUUGGAUUGUGUUAUAAAUUACAGGUGUUUGUUUAUGCCCAUAUGAGAAGGAAGGGAACUGAUUUCAUCAAGAGCAAUUUGUUGUACCUUCCCUGCUUAGGUACAAUAAAAUGUUCAGUUGCAGAGGGUUCCUUGCUAAAAGUUGCACAGUAGUAUUUAUCUGUCAUAGAUGUUUUUCAAGAGAAUACAGCAGAACUGGAAACUCAAAGUUUGAGUGUAAACCUGCAGUAAUCCACUGUCAGGAGAAUUGUGUAGGUGUAUAAAAUUGAUUUCAAAGGGAAUGAAGAGGUGUGACUUGUGAAUUGCUACUUUUUAAAGAUAAAAAAUUAGUUCACAUGUAGGUCAUGUUAAAAAAAGAAAGUAAUUUUUUGUCCUUGUCUCUUUAUUAUGCACAUUUUUAUAGAUGUUUUCUUUGGUUGCCUAUAGCCUUUCUGCUAUUUUAAAUAUGCUCAAAUUUUUAUUGAGAUGAAAAUGUUAAGAGAUGUAAUGAUACUGAUAUAUCAAGUGGGGCCAUUUGAAAACAAGGCUUGAUGUGUUAUGCCAAUACAAAUUAAAUCCCUGCAGUUGAACCUUGAGCACUUGUGUUUGUGAUGUAUAAAAUUGUUCCUUUAAAGCUGUCUCUGUCUUGUGUCCCUUC